AGUGAGGAAUAUUGCGCAAUGGAGGCAACUCUGACGCAGCAACGCCGCGUGGGGGAUGAAGCACUAUGGUGUGUAAACCUCUGUAGACAGGGAAGAACGGCAUGGCUUUGUAAAGGGUCAUGUAUGACGGUACCUGUAAAGUAAGCUCCGGCUAACUCCGUGCCAGCAGCCGCGGUAAUACGGGGGGAGCGAGCGUUGUCCGGAAUUACUGGGCGUAAAGGGCGUGUAGGCGGGCUGGUCAGUCAGAUGUGAAAGCCUGUGGCUUAACCACAGAACUGCAUUUGAAACUGCCAGUCUUGAGUUCGAGAGAGGGUAGUGGAAUUCCCAGUGUAGCGGUGAAAUGCGUAGAUAUUGGGAAGAACACCAGUAGCGAAGGCGGCUACCUGGCUCGGAACUGACGCUAAGGCGCGAAAGCGUGGGGAGCAAACAGGAUUAGAUACCCUGGUAGUCCACGCUGUAAACGAUGGGCACUAGGUGUUGGUCGCGACAUGUCGGGAUCAGUGCCGGAGCAAACGCAUUAAGUGCCCCGCCUGGGGAGUACGAUCGCAAGGUUGAAACUCAAAGGAAUUGACGGGGGCCCGCACAAGCGGUGGAGCAUGUGGUUUAAUUCGAUGCAACGCGAAGAACCUUACCGGGGUUUGACAUGUCGAUGACGCAGGCAGAGAUGUCUGUUUCUUUCGGGACGUCGACACAGGUGCUGCAUGGCUGUCGUCAGCUCGUGUCGUGAGAUGUUGGGUUAAGUCCCGCAACGAGCGCAACCCUUGUCUCUAGUUACCAGCGAGUAAUGUCGGGGACUCUAGAGAGACUGCCGGUGACAAACUGGAGGAAGGUGGGGAUGACGUCAAGUCCUCAUGGCCCUUACAUCCCGGGCUACACACGUGCUACAAUGGCCGGUACAACGAGUCGCAAUACCGCGAGGUGGAGCUAAUCUCUUAAAACCGGUCUCAGUUCGGAUUGCAGUCUGCAACUCGACUGCAUGAAGCCGGAAUCGCUAGUAAUCGCGGAUCAGCACGCCGUGGUGAAUACGU
rnacentral:rRNA from 1 species